UUGCAUCCUGGAGGUCAAACAGCACACAUCCUUCCCCUGUGUUCAGGAGGCUGCAUAGAGCGAGUGUUUGGAUCUUCAACUGACAUAGAAAUGUCUUGAGAUAAAAGGUGGCUUACUUCCAGCAUAACAAUGAUCUUGACUGAUUGCUUUCCUGAUACCACAAGAGUCUUUCCUUCUGCUCUCGGCAAGAAAACUCAUGGAAGGAUCACUGUGACAUCCAAAGAAGAUAGAACAUUAAAAGGAAAAGCAUCUCAGUUGUGACUGACAACAGCCCAGGACUUCUGGACAAUAUAUCAGGCAGCUCCCACAAAAGAAUUGUUGGUUUCAUGGCCAUUACUUGAAAUUUUAAAUGGUCUCUUCACAAAAAUGACUGUCCCAAAUUUGACUGGAAUGGCUGCAUUGGCCUAAUAACCACAGUUAUGGUGAUUCAAAGGCAAUCUGUGUUAUUUUGUUGCCGAUUGUGUUUCUUUUCCAUGUGAGUUCAUAUUCCUGUGCUAGCAGAAAUCUUGCUGUCCCUUAAUGCUUCGAAACAUGGAGAACAUAGUGCCAAGAAAAAUUAACUUGAUCCUCUGAACAAGACUGAGGAGGAAAACAAACAAAAAAUCAGCAGCUAAGAUACAGACUCCAAUAUUACUUAUUUUAAGAAUUUUGGAAAUCAUACCCAGGAGCUAUAUGCCCCUGCUUGGAAACUGGUGUUCAUGGUAGUCUGGUUUCAUUUUAGGAAGGAGACAAGCAGGUACCUCUUCUCUGGUAACUUUCCUAGGGGCAGUUGAUCUUCUAAAGACACUGGUGUGGACUGCAUACUUUGCUAAGCAGCUGUUCAAAGCCAUAGGCUUUGUAAAAUAAGCUUUUUAACAAAAUAACUUAGCUUCUCUCACUGACUUCUUCUUUGCUGUGACAAUCAGGAGAAAUGGGUGUGGAUCCACAGUUAUCAGAUAUUCUAGGAAAAUGCAGGAUUACUGUCUCUCAGGUGACACUUAAAAAUGUAUUAUUAAUGCUUCAGUAGGUGGGGGAGCACUACAAGCAGGGACUUUGGUCCACUCACUGUAUGACACACUUUCUCCGUAGUCCUAGGUGUCUCCAGCUUGACAGAUGUUUUCGCUGCCUGUCAAAGCCACCAAGCUCACAGCCUGAAGUUCUGCAGAUAGCCUAUGGCUGAGGAAAACAUACCUCUGUCUAGGGAAGAGAGAUGGAGCAAAAUCACACCUUCUUCCUUUGUCCGUGGCAGUACUCACACUAUGGAGAUGAGCAUCCUCAGGAUGGGGACAGAGAUGUUCCUGGCAAGGGUAUGACAAAGGCAGAGGUUCUAUGCCAAGGUGCCUUGCGGUAUUGUGUCUGCUGGGUAAUUACUGCUCGAUUUAAACAAACCUCGACUCUUGGUAUAGCUGUGUUGAGAGACUGCACCCUUAUCCAAGGUCGUGGCUAACUACAUCUAAGGAAAUGUGGUUCUGCAGGACUUGUAGUGGAGUAGUCUCCCACAAUCCCUGCCCAGGAGGGAAGAACCCUAAGACAUAUUGUGACACUUUUGCCUCUCCAUGUCCUGGAUUCCAGAGGCAGCGUCCCUGGCUUUGGCACAGAAGGAAGAAUCAACAGAGUCAGAACAUGAGCAGUAGCAACAACACUGUCAGCACAUGCAGCCAACAGCAAUAAAAGAGGUUCUUGCUGAACAAGUUUGGCCUGUUACCACCAUAAACUCCAUGCCUAGAAGGUGCCAUGGUCUAGGCUACGGAACUUGGGUGAUGGUGCAGUUCCCCUGGGAAGAUUUGGAAAGAGGCUACUACAUUUGUUGGAAAAGAACUACAGUAUCCAAAGUGGAAAACCCCCUUAGAGAAGAAGACUGGAGGAGGGAUGAAAAAAGUGAGGAACUUUAAUUCAUCAGUUCAAAUGGGAGCCCACUAAAUAUGUGGAGAGUGCAAGAAAAGAGGGAAGGGUGAUAUUGGUGAUAUUGUUGUGUUGUCUUAAAAUCCAGAAAGCAGCAGUAGAAAUCCAAGAUCAAGAGAACAAGCUAAGGGGUAAGUUCAGGGUUCACACAAAUUCCUUGUCUGAGGAUUUUGAAGGAGAUACAAUAGAACAAUAAAUUAUGCCUUUACAACCAAAUAUAAAUUCCCAUAACUAUUUUGAAGCAAGUGAUCUGGCCACUUUGAAAUCCAGGAAAUCACUCCAAGAAAAUCUACAAUGUCCAUUCUUACAUUCCUACAUGUAAACCAUUAGAGCUUCCGUGGUGGCUAAUGAAGUUCAGGAUUCAUUAGGGCUUCACACCUGUGUAUCCCAUUAAACCUGUUUUGGGAGACAUUCUGCCACAGGACUGGUCUCCAGAUUUUAUACACUUAAAAAUAUUUUUAAAGGGUAUUUUCACAUCAGUAGACCUAUUAAUCUUUUAAACUGUAACCCAGAUAUAAUCUAAAUGAAGAAUGACUUGAGUUGAGGAAGGGACUUAGAAAAUAUGGUAGCUAAAAUAGUCUUUUCCAGAGACUGAGGUCAGAGAGUGCUAAAAGGUUGUGUUUGUUCCUAAAUGGGGAAGUGAGUACCCUUUUUCUUUACCCACUGUAAGCAAGCAAGAAUUUUUUACUUUUUUUGGGAGGUAUUGAUAAUAUCUGCUAAUUAGGGGCAGAAUGGCCCUGCAUCUUUCAUCAAGCAAAUAGUCAGGGCACUGCAUCAGUAGUGACUUUGUAGCACUUCAAGAUUUCUGGAAAUUCCUUGGCUUUCAUCCUAUUGCCACUCCCUAGUUGGACUGUAAGGAGACUUGGAUGGAAAAUUUUAAGAACCUUUGUAUUUGGCCUGCAGAGAGAAAGGACUGCUAUAAAUUGAAUACUGUUACCUUAGAUAUUUUUAGAGAUUAGCAAAAUGGAUUGAUUGUAAAUGGACCAUAGUCUCUUAAGAAGAUCCCUCUUAACAAAAGUAAUUGUCUUAGAAGAAAAAGAUAAUACCUAUAAAUUUACACACAUAAAUUAUGCUUAACUUUAGAUUACAGUUAAC